UACAGAGGUCCCGAGCGUUGUUCGGAUUCACUGGGCGUAAAGGGUGCGUAGGUGGCAUAGAAAGUUUGAUGUGAAAACUCAGGGCUUAACCCCUGAAAUGGCAUUGAAUACUGCUGUGCUGGAGGUUUGGAGGGGGGACUGGAAUUCUUGGCGUAGCAGUGAAAUGCGUAGAUAUCAAGAGGAACACCAGUGGCGAAGGCGAGUCCCUGGACAACACCUGACACUGAGGCACGAAAGCUAGGGGAGCAAACAGG
rnacentral:rRNA from 1 species